rnacentral:rRNA from 1 species
UACGGGGGGGGCAAGCGUUGUUCGGAAUUACUGGGCGUAAAGGGCUCGUAGGCGGCCAACUAAGUCAGACGUGAAAUCCCUCGGCUUAACCGGGGAACUGCGUCUGAUACUGGAUGGCUAGAGAUUGGGAGAGGGAUGCGGAAUUCCAGGUGUAGCGGUGAAAUGCGUAGAUAUCUGGAGGAACACCGGUGGCGAAGGCGGCAUCCUGGACCGGUACUGACGCUGAGGCGCGAAAGCCAGGGGAGCAAACGGG